ACACAGCGACAGGCUGUUGAGAGCCGCCUCAGAGGCGGCGCUGUGAGACGGCCUGACGGUGU
rnacentral:sRNA from 23 species